rnacentral:rRNA from 1 species
CCUACGGGUGGCUGCAGUGGGGAAUAUUGCACAAUGGGCGCAAGCCUGAUGCAGCCAUGCCGCGUGUGUGAAGAAGGCCUUCGGGUUGUAAAGCACUUUCAGCGGGGAGGAAGGCGUUAAGGUUAAUAACCUUGUCGAUUGACGUUACCCGCAGAAGAAGCACCGGCUAACUCCGUGCCAGCAGCCGCGGUAAUACGGAGGGUGCAAGCGUUAAUCGGAAUUACUGGGCGUAAAGCGCACGCAGGCGGUCUGUCAAGUCGGAUGUGAAAUCCCCGGGCUCAACCUGGGAACUGCAUUCGAAACUGGCAGGCUAGAGUCUUGUAGAGGGGGGUAGAAUUCCAGGUGUAGCGGUGAAAUGCGUAGAGAUCUGGAGGAAUACCGGUGGCGAAGGCGGCCCCCUGGACAAAGACUGACGCUCAGGUGCGAAAGCGUGGGGAGCAGACAGGAUUAGAUACCCGUGUAGUC